rnacentral:rRNA from 1 species
UGCAGAAUUCCGUGAAUCAUCGAAUCUUUGAACGCACAUUGCGCCCCCUGGCAUUCCGGGGGGCAUGCCUGUCCGAGCGUCAUUUCUGCCCUCAAGCGCGGCUUGUGUGUUGGGCGUGGUCCCCCCGGGGACCU